rfam:Triticum aestivum genome assembly, contig: Triticum_aestivum_CS42_TGACv1_scaffold_320500_4BL
CUUGUACUCCUUCCGUCCGAAAAUACUUGUCAUUGAGAUGGAUGUAUCUAGAUGUAUUUUAGUUCUAGACACAUCCAUUUUGAUGAAAAUUAAUUCUGGACGGAGGGAGUACUUG